AGAACUGAAAGUUUCCACAAAUGGAUAAUUUAAAGCAAACAAAAAACCAUUGUGUUCGUAAUGCCCGAGAAAUUUGUUGAGAUCAUUCGAUAUUAUUGCUUGUUUUGUCCAUUAUAAUUCGAUUAUUUUUAACAUAGAUUGGGAAAAUGUUAGAACAUUUAUCGAAAAUUUUUAUAGAUAUGUAUAUUAUCCAUGUUACACUAAAUAUUCUGAAAUUUCAUUAGUCACGAUUAUAUUGCUAGAAUUGCGGAACUAUACACAUAUAGAGGUUAUAAGAUAUUGCAUCGAUCUAUUUAUAAUCUAUAUCGCGAAAUAGUAUACGUAUAUCAAGUAUAUUUCCAGGAUAUUUUUGUUGUAUUAGCAGAAUAUUUUCAAUGAUUUUAAUUCAUUAAAGACCGAACAAUAUUUACCAUAAUCUUUUUAAACAUUUCAAUUUCCGUCUUCAAAUUUCGUACAAUUGUAGACUGUAUGUAGAGGAAACAGUGACAAAAUAAUAUCAAGCGAAUCCUUUGAAUUCCCUUUCAUGACCACGAUGUUAAAAAACAGAGUUCGAUAGCAUAGAUUGAUUUGAGAAAAUGUUGCAGAUGAGAUGGUAUGUUAACGUAACGUUAAAUAGAAGUAGUUAAAUAGAAAUGGAAGAUGGGGGAUGAUAAAUUUGAUUUAGUUAAAAAUGAAGAAGCUGUUAAAAAAGACGUAAAUUAAUCGGACUUAAAUUUCAGUUGCAAGAGUCAUUAUUUAUCAAUUUAAAAAAAUGUGGGUAAUUUAUAUAAUUUUAUCCAAAUUCUCGUACAUCUUCAUGCAAAUUAAUAAUAUUCGUUUAAUAUUUCCACAAUUGUGUAACAUUUGCCAUAAUAUUUCCACAAUUGUGUAACAUUUGCUAUAAUAUUUCCAGCAUUCUUUGAAAAUUUGCUCGUAAAACUACCCAGAUGUCGGACUAUUGUAUUCCUUUUCCAUUUAUUAAGAAAAAUGACUAUUCUAUUGUUAUCGUGUAAGUAUCUUUUGAUCUGGAACUCCUUUGUUGAAAAAUAUUUAUCUUGAUAAUUUUCAAGUAGGCAUAUUAUAUGCUUCAAUUUAAAAAAGGAAAACUGAGAUUUCUGAUAUUAUUUGUUAUUGAGUAAUAUCAACGUAGAAAUAUGUUAUAGCACAAUAAAAAGGUUCCUUCGCGUCUCAAAAUUUUACUCAUUAAAAGUUUGGGAUUGCAAUACAUUGGACGCAAACUAACUACAUUAACUUUCUUCACAAAAAAGAUCGAACAGAACAAAAUUAUAAUUUUUAUAACAAAAGUAAUUCUCUAAAGUUUAAAUUUAAACCUACGACAAACGAUUCAGAUUUUUUAUAUCCAGGGGGACAUAAAUAAUUAGAACUUCCACUCUUGGCGAAGAAUCCAAGAGAUUGGCUAUUGUUGUAACCAAGUUGCUCAAAGUUCACUGAAAAACUAACUAAACAGUCUUGCGUAAGAUAAGAGAAAAUAUAAGCUGCUAUUUAAAAAAGGGAAAAUAUGUAUUCCACGAGUUUGAUUGUUGAAAUAAGGUACCUGCGGCUUGAUUGCUACGGUCUUUGCACAUCUCAGUUUCCAUCGUUUUUAACUUAAGAAGUCUUGCCCCCUAUCUUCCAGAUUCAAUUAGCAAGAAUUUAAAAGUGCAACAAAAAUGCACAGGAUGUAUAUAACAUACGAAAUUAUAUAAACCCCGCAUACCAUAUGCCUACCUAUUGAUGAAUGAAUUGAUAAAAUUUGAUGACAAAAUCAUAGUCAUGUGCCGCUACAUUUGGCGGUCGGUUUGCAAAUAAAACCUGUUUAAUAGAAUCAAAUAUUGGAUUCACGUCAGAAAUCGAGCAGAUCCUGCUAACCUAACCUAACGUCGAAUUGAUGGCCGAAAUAAUGCAGUAUCUGCGCAACGUAAUCGGCCGGCAGAAAGGCAGCAGAUGAAGAUUCUGUGUUGUUGUUUUGAACGCCAUACAGACUUUACAGACUUUGCCCGAUUUCUACUACCAUUAACUGUUAGGUUAACGGGCAGAAUUUAUUCGAUUUCAGCGACCAAUCUGCCCCAGCAGAUUUUGUUAUAUUUCCGCUGAUAGUCUACAAACAUAAACGAAUAUAACAAAUCCUGUAUCAAAUCUACAGGCUUUUUGUACAAGUAUCCGACAAAAUUUGCUAAAGUAGAUUUGGCUAUCUGAGUAAAUAACCGCAAUCUAUUUUUAAUUACUAUACUAUACUAGAGAUUUUCCACAAAAUUUUGCUUUACAUCAUUGUUGUUACUUGUAUAAACGAUAAUAAUACCGGAAGAAUAGCAUUUAAUCCUUUUUAACAAGAACAAUAAAUUUAGUCCUAUCUAAACGAGGUACUUGAUGUAUUAAAACUAGCUUCUACUAUGCAAAAUGUAUCUUUGGUCCAACUGAUAUGAUAACAAAUAUACGGAAAGAUUUGAUAAUUGGUAAACCCAUUUCACUUAAAUUCUUCUAAAAAAAUAUAAUUACAGAGCGAAAAAAAUAUCUUUCACAAUGUUGCUUAUCCUUCAAAACCUGAUAUUUAUUUUACUGUCAAACGCGAAAUUGUCUACUAUGCAAAAUUUAGUAUGGAUAUGAUCAUUUGUAUACGCAAUAAUUUGAUAAUAAUUGGUAAGAUAAUUGCACCUAAAUUAUGUUAAAAGGCAUAAGACAGAACAAAGAAAAUGUUUUUUGCAGUUUUGCCCAUCUUUCAAAGUCUACUGUUUACUUUACUUUCAAAUGCGAAAUUGUCUAAUUACUCUGAACAAUGUAGUUAGAAUGAUUGCAUAAAAAUCGAAGUGAUGAGUCACGGGAAUGGAUACCUUCACAAAAAUUAUAGAAACUCAUAAAAACAAAAAAAUUACUUAAUACGAAUAUGAAGUCAAACCCUGAUUUCUAUACUGACCGAAUAUUUUCUAUUUUCGUCCAUUCUAUUUCGCAUUGUAUUCGCGUCAAGAUUCUAUGGUAAAAAGUCGGUGAUUUUCCUUAAAAAAUAAAGUGUUUAACAAAUUUACAUUUAUUAAUUGAUAAUCUAUUUACAAUCGAUGUCUAUUGUUUAUCUUCAUAUCGAUAAAUAUGUCAUAUAAAUCUUUUGAAGUAAUAAAAGAUGCUACUUAGUGCUCUAUUAUUUUUAUCUAUUUACAUAACUAUUCCCAGAUAGUUAAUCAAAAAAAAAAAAAAAAAAAAAUAGUAACAGUACGAUACUACUUACGACUGCAAAAGUAAGGUCAGAGUUUUAAAAAGCACCCGACAAACACUCGCUGAUGGUAACUUCAAUGGACAUCGAACGAUACAACGAUACUCUUAAUUAAAAUCUUUUACGAAUUAAAAGAUACUUGCAUAAAAUAAAUAAACACUGGUCAAAUAAUUUUAGUAGGAAAAAUUUAGCCAGAAAAUGUAAAGCAUUGUGUUUCAUUGUUCAAAAGAAAUAACUCACCGAUUUUUAAAAAUCAUAUAUUUUCCAAAAUCACUCACGCUAAUUAUUACUUCAUAACAUUAAACGUCAAGCAUCAAGAUCGCUUCUUCAAUCGCUUUCGUCAAUUAAUAUAAUAAAUUAUUUAUUUGUCGAUAUUAGUUGAUAGAAUGUGAAAAAUCAUUUACCGUAGUGAUAAUAAUGAUUCUAGAUUAACAUGUAUAAUAUAUUUGAAGAUAAUUGCUACCGCAAGUAUGCUAUUAAGUAUGGAAAUGCAACAUCUAGAUAUAGCAUUGUGACGCAUAAGACAUUAAGAAUGGCACAAGUACUAUUUUCAUCAUACCUUCGUUCCACAAACAUCGAUUUGAACAAGUCAUUUUCUCGUACCUGCUUUGCUAACCCAGUCUCGUUGUCCGGCCAGUAUCAUCGAAACCAGCGAAACUUUACAGAAACUGUUUAUUACUGCACUUCAUGCAUGUAAAGUUUCAGGUCGCUGGUUAGGAUUCGGACGGCAACGCAAAUGAAGUUAGCAAACCGUACUCCAACUUCGCCCCGUAUAAACAGUCAUUGCGAUUAUUUGGGAAACAAUCAGAUGUUGUCCCUACAAGUUAGUCUAUGUAAAUAUUCAAAGAAAUAAUUCAAACUUAGAAACAUCGGGAUAUACUUUCUUGUAUAGCUCUGUUACACAAUUGCCACAAAUCAAAAACAAUUCUUGGUUAGAGAGUACGUACAUACUUAUAAAGUUUACUAAAUAUUGCAGCUUAAAACUUUAAGCUAACGUUUAAAUAAUUGGAUGUAACUGAAUUCAGAAGUUGAAACUUACUUUAUUUGGUGUCAGCUGAAUAUGAUUAGUUUCUGGAUUGUUUUGUGAACUUGAAAAGAUGUAAAGUACUGGUCAUAAGCUAAUUUUAAUUUCUAUUAAGAAAAUUUGUCUAUUAAUUUCCAUAUUAAUCUCUAGUAUGAUAGAAAGUAUGUGGGUAGAUGUCCAAGUAUGUACAUAUAAAUAGACAAAAUGCGAUCAUACAUUGAAUAAAUGCUUAAUUGCUAUUGAAAGUCAAACAUAUUUUCGUUUGUAUUAUUUGUCCUUUUACUAAACAUACUCCACAGGAAUACAUUUUUUAGAAGCAGUUUUCAAAGGGACCUUUGUACAUCUUCUUUAUAGAAAAACAUCUUCCGCAACAAAAUUCAAAGAUUACAGAAACUGUAACAAAGAAUAGUUCUAUAAUUAAUAUUUCAAAAGAAAUAUCGCAUGCUUAUGCUAAGAGAAGCAAAUCGAGACGUGUUGUUUCGCAACUUUCUUUAUUAACGCCAUUGCAUUUUUAUCAGAGCCAGGUACAGUUCCGAGCUCGACACCGAAAGCGAGCUCACACACAAUAAUGCGCAGCCCUUAUACAUUGUACACAUCCUGAAUUUCACUGUUCGUCGCUUAUAACACAGAAAUUUACAAAAAUUCUCAUAAGCCCAAGUAUUAUGGCGACUUUUUCCAAGUCUCAAAUGCAUGUAGGUGUUGUACUACACUGUGUUCGGAUCGCUAUACAUUAGCUAAGAUACGCAACUUUUAAACCAUCUCUCGCUUGAAAUCGUACAAAGAAUACAAUAAAAUCGUUCCUCGUCUUUGGUAAUGUUAUAGGGAGGGAGUAAUAUUGACGAAAAAUAAA